AAAACGGAGAGUUUGAUCCUGGCUCAGGAUGAACGCUGGCGGCGUGCUUAACACAUGCAAGUCGAACGAACCUUCGGGUUAGUGGCGGACGGGUGAGUAACGCGUGAGAAUCUGCCCUCAGGAGGGGGAUAACAGUUGGAAACGACUGCUAAUACCCCAUAUGCCGAAAGGUGAAACGAAUUUCGCCUGGGGAUGAGCUCGCGUCUGAUUAGCUUGUUGGUGGGGUAAAAGCCUACCAAGGCUUCGAUCAGUAGCUGGUCUGAGAGGACGAUCAGCCACACUGGGACUGAGACACGGCCCAGACUCCUACGGGAGGCAGCAGUGGGGAAU
rnacentral:rRNA from 1 species